rnacentral:rRNA from 1 species
CGGCUAACUUCGUGCCAGCAGCCGCGGUAAUACGAAGGGGGCUAGCGUUGUUCGGAAUUACUGGGCGUAAAGGGCGCGUAGGCGGUUCGUUAAGUCAGGUGUGAAAUCCCCGGGCUCAACUCGGAGGCUGCCCUCGAAACUGGAGUGCUUGAGUGCGGGAGAGGUGAGUGGAAUUCCCGGUGUAGAGGUGAAAUGCGUAGAUAUUGGGAGGAACACCUGUGGCGAAGGCGGCUCACUGGACCGUUACUGACGCUGAGGCACGAAAGCGUGGGGAGCAAACAGGAUUAGAUACCCUGGUAGUCCACGCCGUAAACGAUGCAUGCUUG